GACAGAGGUCCCAAGCGUUGUUCGGAUUCACUGGGCGUAAAGGGUGCGUAGGCGGUCGGGUAAGUCUGAUGUGAAAUCUCACAGCUUAACUGUGGAACUGCAUUGGAUACUAUCCGGCUAGAGGAAUGGAGGGGAGACUGGAAUACUUGGUGUAGCAGUGAAAUGCGUAGAUAUCAAGUGGAACACCAGUGGCGAAGGCGAGUAUCUGGAGAUUCCCUGACGCUGAGGCACGAAAGCCAGGGGAGCAAACGGG
rnacentral:rRNA from 1 species